rnacentral:lncRNA from 1 species
AAACAUUUUCUUCUGUUCUGUUGGCUCUUUUGUUUUGAGUAGAAGAAUCGUCGGUUGCAGGUCGCUUCCUUAUUCCUGCGCAUUGCUCCGCUAACCCCGUCUGGCUGUCCGACGGAUCAGUCUUUGGGUCCACCAAAUGCGUGUCCUCAGAGUUAGCCGGAGCCCCAAUUAAAGGCGCCGCCGGGCGGCUCCCGCUGACAUCCUGGCUCUCCUGCGCCGGCACCUUGCAGGCACCUUUGGGGGGCCGCGGGGGUCUGUAGUAGAACUCGGGCAAGCUGCCCUUCUCCACCUCUUGCCACUCGUACUUGCCCUCUAGGGGUUUGUGAUUCUGAAAAUCGAAAUUCCACUUGCGCUGGCUCGCCUCUUCCAUGUCUCUGCAGUGCUUCUCCAAGUCCCGGGUUAACUCUUCGUGGUCCACCGGGCCGAAGAGGUUCCUGCAGGCCGAGGGCUUGGGGUGCUCCGCCUGCCUGGCGUCCAUCCGCUCCAGGCUAGGGCUCCCGUUAGACACUCGCACGUUUGACAUCUUUCUCCCGGGUCUGCACGACCGCCUCUCUCGCACUCUCAAAAAAACAAAACCGAACAAAACAAAGCGCCCCUACGCAGCCCGAACCCCUCUCGGAAGCCCAGCGACUGCCCUCGGAGCCAAAAGACACAGACCCCGACGAGCCACGGCCCGAGCUCUAGGAGCGCGCAGGGGCUGCGGGGAAGCCCCGGCCCGGCCGCCGAGUCUCCGCUGAUCAAAUGGACUGGCGAGCGGGAGGGCGGAGAGGAGAGGGGACCAGGCAAGCGGAGAGGGUGGCAAAGCCCGUCCGAGUCUGGGCGGGUGCAAGCCCGCGGGUCCCGCGAACCCAGC